UAUUUUUUCUUUCCUAGAAAGCCUCAAGACAUAUUCUGUGUUGUUGAACAGCUUCUGAGCACAGUCCCUGAAGUUCAAACAAAUGUCUUGAUGUAGAGAUGAAGGCAGAACCUGGAAGGGGUCAGCUAGGGGCACACCAUCUUCUGGAGAAACCAAAGGCUUUGUUACAGUAAACUGGUCCAGUGUGAUAUCACAAGUAUAAAAAAUAUUCCAUUCUGUAUCAAAACUAGGCACAUGCCUUUAUUUAUAGUCACAGAAUUAACAGAGUUGAGCAGUUUUGCCUCGGGUCCUGUUUCGGGCAUCCUACAUCAGACAGACGCAUCUUUCACCAUAUCUGUGCUCCUACCUCCAGGGAUCAUCUGUAUGUGAAGGAAGAUGAACCACACUUGGGUCUUAGUGGGAAGAAAUGGAAACAUUCACUAUAGACGCUCAACCCAAAGAGCAUUCAAGGAGGAAAUGGAAACAGCCAACCAUGAAAGCCAGAUUUGGAGAGCACCUGUCAAAUUUUUCAUUACAAGGCACUGUGCUGAGCACAAGAGCACUGUCCUCCACCUUCUCUCAGGACACAAAAGAGGCAAUAUGAAGCACAUCUAUACAUGAAAAGAGCUACUUCACAGAUCAG